ensembl:lncRNA
AUGUAUUAUCAUUAUCAUUUUUUCGGACAGGAGAUGGAGUUCUGGCCUGGGAAUCAGGGACAGUCACCUCUGUACUCAACAUUUACUGUUCCUGGCAGAAACUGCCCACAGACCUACCAUGACAGACACCGGAAUCCUCCGUACUACGGUGAGCGGCAGGACCAACGCAGGGAGCCCACUUACUGGACUCUACCGGGAUCAAGAGCAGCCUUACACGAUUACGCUCCCUGGAUGGAGCAUGAGCAAGUCGGCCUCUCCUCUUCACACUUCCCGUUUAUUCUAGACCAUCACCCUCAGCAUCACCAGGAGCUGGGAGCUUAUCAGCCGCACGAAACAAGAGACAGAGAAUGGGCCCAAAGAGCAUCUAGGGAAUAUGAGAGGGGAUUUCCAAGGGAGGGGUGGCCGGGAAGGUGGGAAACCUGCAGUCCAGCCCGCUACAGCAGGGAGGUUUCUGUAAAAAGGAACGACAGCAGCUAUCGAGAGCUAGAAGCCUGGGCGGCACGAUACAGCCACUCGCUUCAAAGGAGGAAACGCAUAGAGGCUGAGUUGAGGGGUGCCUCUCACGGGCUCACGGAGAGCAGCAGGGCUCCAGAGAGGGACAUCAGAGGUGGGACAACAGCGCCACAACAAGUCGUCCAUCCAGGACGGUGUGACAGAGCAGGCAGGCAGCAAGCACAUCCAUUACAGGGGGCUCUCGCUGACACAGGCCACCCCCCGAAGGAGAAGACCUGCUUCCAGAGGAGGCUGUUCAGCAAACCCCCAGGUUAUAUUGCUCCUCCUCCUUAUGACACCCCACAAAAAAGCUCUUCUGUGUCACAUCAGGGUGACACAAGCUGGGAGCAGGAAGGUAAAAAACAGACCUACUGGUCGCACCCGAUACUGAAAGACCAGGAUAUGGCUGUAGAUCACCAAACAAGAAAGACUGAGAGAUUCACCAAUCCAGAUGUUAAUCAACUCACCUUCUGUCCCCAGUACAGCAGACCUCAAACACACUCCCUGCAAGAAGACAGCGCAGGUUAUGUGCAGAGGCCACAUGUUCAAUUUGAAGGGAUGAUGUCUCUGCAACAGGCGCCAGUUCUCCACACGGUUCGCAACAAGGCCGAGGAACCAUCCUCAAAAAUCAUCGAGGGAAGGAAGUUCAAGUUGAACAAGAAGGCAGGCAGGGUGACCAUAUUCUGCUUGGUGUCUCGGAUAGCAGACAGCACAGAAAUCCCACCUUCCCCAGUUUGUGGUCUGCAGACGACCCUUGGGAACAUGCCAGGAGGUGAAGCUACAGGUCAGAGUGAGAGUGAAACCAUUCAGGCACAGAAGCUUGCAGAUGAGGUCGACUACAGAGUGCCCACAUUUGUGGAAGAGUCAGAACCCUCCAACACUGAUAUCAAUAAACAGGAAGAGCCAGCAAGCUUAGCAAAAACUGAGAAGCCAGAGACAGAUGUAGAAGUGGCAAAGGAUGCUGAUUGUACAGCCGGGACGCAAUCUUCCGAGUCCGGGAAAUACACAUCAGUCAAAUAUCCUUUAUGGAGAGAGCCCAGUUUCCCAGUCGGGUCUGAACCUGCGAGUUCAUCAAAGUGUCCGAAAGAAGAGAGCGAGGAAGACGGAUCCAAGGUUCUGGGGAGCAAAGACAUCCCUGCUGAAGUGCAUCCACAGGCUGAAGUAAGGACAGAGGAUGUGGAGGAAGAAUGUGAAGGUGCUAAACGUUCGCUGACCGUUGACACAACCUGUGUUGUGGUUAAAAUGGAGCAAAUUCCAUCACCCAAGAAAGAGCACGUUCACUACUUUGACACCGUUCCACACCCGGAACACAGCGAAGACGUUCAGUCGGCUUUCUCUCACGAGUGCUUUCAGUCAAACAUUCAGCCGGACCGAGGUGGAAGAACUGAGCAGAACGCAGAACUGGACCCGCCGUUCGAUACAGAAAAGCCUGACGCUGAGCCUGAUUCAGAUAUUCUUGAUAAAGUGGAGCCAGAACAAAGAACAAUCUCCGAUCCCUGCGCAUCCCCUUCAGUGCCUGACAGGGAGACCUUGGCGCAGCGUGCUGAAAGAAUCCUUGGAAUCCCUCUGAAUGAGAGCGUGAGUGAGCAGCAGCCUGAAGACGCUGCGUCGCUGAAGAACGAGUCUUUUUUUGAGGUCAAUGGCAGCGGGUCUUCGGUAGAGGAAGAGAAUUCGCAGAACCAGCUGGAGUUUGACCAAACCAGGUUUUUGCCAGAGAAUGUUGAAGCCCAAAAUGCGGCUGACGUUAAAGGUGGUCCAGAUUCAUCGGUGCCUUCCGAAACACCCAUCGGAGCUUCAGAUGAAGAUGAUGAUCCCAAGAAUGAAGCAGGCAGUGAUGAACAUGCAAACGAGCAGAGGGAAAACGGAAGCACCCCACUGGAGGAUAACGCUUCCCCUCCACAUCUCAGUCCAUCCACAGAUUCCUGGCCUUCACCUUCUCCGGACAGCCAAGGACCCGUCCUUCCUCCACCUCCUGUUUCAUCAUCCUCCGACCCUGCGCCCAUUUUAGAGCAUCCGGAAUCACAAUGUAAUGAUCUUGAACUGACGGCUCCGACCGCAGCUCCUGCAAAUGUAUUUUCUGCUCAAUCUCCAUCACAGCAGUCAGCAGCUCUGCCUUCCCAAGAUCCCCAAGGUGCCGCAACUGAUGAAUUAGAAAAUCAAACUCAACCAGUGAUCAGCGUUUUGGACCUGGGUGAAGAUGGUAAAACGCCGCGGCUGACAAACGGGGAGAUCAGUGAAGAAUUCGAGGAGGCUCCUGUAGAUGAACCUGAGGAGCUGGUGUUCCAGCAACAAGAUGAGAUCAGCGAACCGGCCCAGGUGAACGGAGUUAGAGAAACUAAUCUAGAGGAUGAGCACGAGACAGAGGAAGGAGAGGUGCUAGUGGGUGCUGGAGUGGAGGAGACAGAAUCCUCCGCAUUGGUCACUCAAAACCUUUCCCAAGAUGAGGAGAGUGUCUGCACAGCAGAGAGUCCUAGAACCGAAGAGCAACUAUCUGAAGAUACCGAGGAGGAACACGCAGAACAAAUACAGCCACUUGAUGAAUCCGAAAAGGACAUCAUACAUGCGGCCUCUUUACAACCAGCUGGACUGUGUACCGAUGACAUGGAGCCACUCAAAGAAGUUGAAUCAGGUCUUUUAGAAGAGACAACAUCCCCUGAAAACAAGCAUCAGCCUAUUCAGAGUCAAGAGAUACUCAUUUUACAGCCGUGUGAUACUGAAGAUGCCUCCAUCUUAAAAGAAAUAACUGAAGAGCCAUCAGAAGGAGCCACUGGAGAUCCUGCAAGUCUACCAGAACAAGAUAUGGGCUACAGAAAUACCUCAGAAGCUCUCACGGACACUGAAAAGCAGAAGGAACUUGACCCUUCCAACUCGCCUUCGGAUGUAGUCAUACUCCCCCUCCCCGAGCUUCCUGCUCCAUCACAUGGCUCGGACAAAGAUGUUGCCCCUUCAGUAACAACGGACCCAUCUUCUGAUGCGGCAGAUGCUGUUACCAUAGAAACAGACAUCUCCCCUCUUUGUCGGGCAUCUGGUGAAAAAUCCCAAAACUUAUCAUCUUCAUCCGACUUGCUUCCAGUCCCGCCUACCUGCUUUUUACCUUCGCCACUGCAAGAGGGGAACGAAAGUGUUCCCUCGGUCUUGCCCCUCAGCGAGGAGCCUCAUUAUCCGAAGUCCCUGUGGGAUGCCGUAAACCGCAUCCGAAAACACACAGCACCCGACUCUGAGAAUGAGGAGGAGGAGGUGAGUGAGAUGUGGGAUCCAGAGAAUGCAGGAGAGGACUCUGGUGGGCUCCAUGGAGCACAGGACACGAAGGCCGAGAUGAAGGAAGUUCCAGCUGAUCAAAGUGUUGAAGACGCCAAAGCGAAACAAGCCCAGCAGGAUCCAGGUGAUGUCGAUGAGGGCCAGCUGUCCUACACCAGCACCAGCAGCCACAGCUCCAGGGAAAUGGCUACUGACAAAGAGGUGGACAAUGGAGACACGUCGUCUAAAACUGGGACAGAGCUCUGGACAUUGGAGGAUGAGGAGCUAGAGACAGAAGUGGGAGAACAGAGCUGCAUCGUCGAAGACAGAGAGGAAGAUCAAGAAGACCAGGAUCACCAGUGA